ACACUCCUACGGGAGGCAGCAGUGGGGAAUAUUGGACAAUGGGCGCAAGCCUGAUCCAGCCAUGCCGCGUGAGUGAUGAAGGCCCUAGGGUUGUAAAGCUCUUUCACCGGUGAAGAUAAUGACGGUAACCGGAGAAGAAGCCCCGGCUAACUUCGUGCCAGCAGCCGCGGUAAUACGAAGGGGGCUAGCGUUGUUCGGAUUUACUGGGCGUAAAGCGCACGUAGGCGGACUAUUAAGUCAGGGGUGAAAUCCCGGGGCUCAACCCCGGAAGUGCCUUGGAUACUGGUAGUCUUGAGUUCGAGAGAGGUGAGUGGAAUUCCGAGUGUAGAGGUGAAAUGCGUAGAUAUUCGGAGGAACACCAGUGGCGAAGGCGGCUCACUGGCUCGAUACUGACGCUGAGGUGCGAAAGCGUGGGGAGCAAACAGGAUUAGAUACCCCUGUAGUCCCAUG
rnacentral:rRNA from 1 species